rnacentral:rRNA from 1 species
GUCCUAGCCGUAAACGAUGGGCACUAGGUGUGGGGGGUCAUCAACUCCCUCCGUGCCGCAGCUAACGCAUUAAGUGCCCCGCCUGGGGAGUACGGCCGCAAGGCUAAAACUCAAAGGAAUUGACGGGGGCCCCGCACAAGCAGCGGAGCAUGUGGCUUAAUUCGAAGCAACGCGAAGAACCUUACCAGGGCUUGACAUGCAGAGUAAAACGGCGGAAACGUCGCGUCCGAGAGGGCUCUGCACAGGUGGUGCAUGGCUGUCGU